CCAGCAGCCGCGGUAAUACGGAGGAUGCAAGCGUUAUCCGGAAUGAUUGGGCGUAAAGCGUCCGCAGGUGGCAAUGUAAGUCUGCUGUUAAAGAGUGAGGCUCAACCUCAUAAGAGCAGUGGAAACUACAUAGCUAGAGUGCGUUCGGGGCAGAGGGAAUUCCUGGUGUAGCGGUGAAAUGCGUAGAGAUCAGGAAGAACACCGGUGGCGAAAG
rnacentral:rRNA from 1 species